CCUAACCCUAGCCCACAUCCACUGGGACGGCGACGAGAUGGCGCUCCGCCGCCGCGGUCCGCCGUCGGCGUCGGCGCCGCCUCUGGAGGACGAGAACCUCCUCGGCGAGAUCCUCCUCCGCGUCGCCCCGCUGCCCUCCUCGCUCCUCCGCGCCUCCCUCGUCGCCAAGCAAUGGGAGCGCCUCGCCGCCGCGCCCGCCUUCCACCGCCGCUUCGUCGCCCACCACCGGCAGCCCCCCAUCCUCGGCGUCUUCGGGCAGCAAGGCCGGGAGCUGGUGUUCACCUCCCUCCUCGACGCUCCCGACCGCAUCCCGCGGGAGCGCUUCUCGCUGCGGCCCGGCGACGAGAUCGAUUUCUGGGGUCUGCUCGGGUGCCGCCAUGGACGUGUCCUCUUCAUCAGCACGUUUCGUCGUGCGCUCCUUGUGUUCGACCCCGUCAACGGCGACCGCCUGUGCGUGGCAAUUCCGCUGUAUUUGGAACGGUAUGUCUUUGGUGGAGCUGUGGUCUGCGCCGCCGGCGACGACCAGGGCCACGUGCACGGAGACUGCCAUUCGAGCCCCUUUAAGGUGGUCCUGGUAGGCACCAGAGAGAACCACCCAGCCAUAGCCUGGGUCUACUCCUCCGAGACCGGCAUGUGGAGCAAUCUUGUCUUCACCACAGAACCAUGCGACGGUCUGAUUGACGUCCAUUUCCCCUGUACCCAUGUCGGCAAUGUCCUUUAUUGGUGGUUGUAUGGGCAUGACAACGGCAUACUCGAGUUCGAUCUGCAUACCCAGACACUAGCUGUGACCGAGGGGCCUUCCCGUGUGGACAUCAACUCUAUCAACAGCCGGAUCAUCAGGGGAGAGGAUGGCGGUGUUGGCGUCGCAGUAUUUUCGUAUCUGAGCUUGAAAAUGUGGAAACGCGAGGUCAGUAGUCAGGGUAUUCACACAUGGCUGCUGCAGAAGAUUGUUGUCUUCCACAAGAUCAUUGAUCUUACACAUCAGAUCAAGGCAAGGAAGGAAGCUAUAGUGGGGUACUCAGAGGAUGCAGGUGCGGAUCUUAUAUCGGUGCCUUGCUGUUCAGGUAUCAGGACAGGGAAGGAAGCUAUAGUGGGGUACUCAGAGGAUGCUCAUGCGCUUUUUAUAAAGGUGUCUUGCUGUUCAGGACCCCAUACCUUCAUUGUUGAACUUGAGUCAAUGCAGUCCAGGAAAAUUAAUCAAAGUUUUUUGGAGAAUUCAUAUCAUCCGUUUGCAGAUUUCUUCACUGCAGGUACUGUUCGAGCAUGAAGUACUGUUCCAGUCACUGAGCCACCACAGCGUACUGUUCCAGCCGUUGAGCCACCACAGCUGCGGGGUGGUCACAUGAUUCAGUUGAUCAAUAGGUUUUCUUCAGCAACCAGGUAUAUACUUUUCGAAUUGUUUCCUUAGCAUGUUUAAGCCAGGCGUAAUAUGCAUCACCAUGAAUCAUAUGGAACUUCAUCAAUUGCAGUCAUAUGUUGAUGAUUUGACAUGAUACAGAGUUUUAAAUUCAUCUCCUAUAUGAAAACCGGAGAAAAAAAGUCAAUAGUUGAAUGUAAGUAAAACAAUCCCACUAUGUUUUGAUUCACAUGACCAGCUGUUCCAAAUUUCGUCUAACUGCAAUCUCAAAGCUACUAAAAUUCUUUUUUCAUUUUGAUUUUGUUCUAUUAUCAGCACUUGAUCAUACUAGUUGAAUCGGAGAACAGGGGGCAGGUAAGCACUAGGUGGUAAGAAAACUAGGUGAGUAGGGGAGGGAGGCACUACCACGGACAUUCUAAUUUAGAUUUUAUCAGUCCUCACUAUGUGGUAAUAGAACACCAGUAAAACAUGUUAUUGCCUGAUAUUUUGUCUGAUAUUUUGAGCUGCCUUUUUUCAUUGCCUGCUAUUUUGUGCUGCCUUUUUUUAACAACAUUGGUUAUUUGGCAGAUGCACAGUGUGCCGUUUAAUGAGGCGGGAUCUUGCACUGUGGUUUUACCGGUCAGCCAUUGCUCUUUUAUUCUUUUCCCUUUUUGUGCUGGACCCAUUUUCAGUGCCUUCCUCCCUGUUUUGAAGUUUCAUUUUUUUUCUCUUUUGAAGGAUAUUGCGGGAUGUUUAAGCAUGGAAGAUUCGCUAGUUUUUUCAAUCUACAUUUUUGACCUUUUUUGGAGCAACCGGCGGGAGCUCUGCCUUUUCAUAUAGAAGAGGAAAAUUGGCUGCUUAUAAGGAAAAUUGGCCAGCUUAUAAGGAAAAUUUGCUGUAAACCGGUACAAUUGAGCCAUGCAAACCAGCCCCGAGGCUGUACCCAAGCGAGCCGACUUUUCUACCAUCCAAGCAACCAUAAUCGACACCCAACAACACAACCUGGAGCCACCACUCCGGCUUACAAACCAUCACAAUUGUCCACACACCAAACGAGUCGAUGACUUUGCCAUCCAAGUGAUCACAUACCAAAUGAGUCGACGACUCUGCCAGCCCAAUGACCAGACUCAAUACCAUACAUCACAAAGGCGAUCUCCGGAGCCACCGCUUCAGCCUCCACACCGGCCCCGAGGCUGUGCACUUGCCUAGUUGACGCCAAAGCCGUGUGACAACCUCAACCAUUGUCAUCUGGUAGAAGACCGGACCUCCAAAGGUGAUGCCCCAAGGGGGAAGUGAUGCGAACGCCGCCGACACCCGCUCGGGGCCUAGUUAGAGCUUGAGUUUUCACUCAAAGAGCUCGAGAUCCAAAUGACGAGGGAGGUGAAGGGGCUCCACGACGACAUCUCCAAGGAGGAGAACAACGUUGAGGACGCCGUUGUCGCUGGCAUUGUUAGAAGUAAGUGCCAGGCUUUCCCCUGGAGUUCACCAUACACUUGUCGCCGGCCAUCUUCAACACAACAAUAGCUAUGGAACCCAAACAACUUGUCGCCGACAACAACCAACUUAGUGACAAACCAAUGCAAUAACUUGAACUGUCGUGGCCAUCCCCGAACCACCCAUGUGUGAGUUCUGCUACGCUGCCAUCUUCCGUCCACGGCACACCAAGGAACGACACCAUGGGCGCCGACAUGUUGUCACCAACAACAACCAGCGUUGGUGCCCUGCCGCCCGGGGGACCCUCGACACUGCGAAACAACCAUCGCAUCCGGAGCCGCCACUCGAGCUUCCAUGUACACCGCAACUCUCCAGGUCUAAAGCAAGACCACUCCUGCAGCCUGCUAUGGCGACAGACUGCGCCUGGCCGAUCCAGGAGACAAAGGGCAGAUCCAGAGCAUCAUCAGCGACCCCUCCCUGGCUGCCGCCACACAGCCCACACAACCUCCUAGGGCAGAUCCGGGCAUGGGAGCCUAGGUUCGGCGAGGGUCGACUGGACUGCCACACCACCCUUGUGGCUAGGAUAGUCAACCACCCGCAGCCGAGCAUGGGCGCCGAAGUGCACCACCCUGACCAUCACCUGAGCUUCCGCCUCCCUCGCAUGUGGCCGUCUGGCGAGCUCGUCCCGGGGCCGCUGCUCUGCACGCGCUAGUCCGAGCAAUGCCACACCAAACCGCGGGCCGACCACCAGAGCCUACCAACGAGAGAAAGAACUCCCCAGCACCUUUGGUAGUAGGGCAUGCUGCCACCAUGGUGGAGGCCGGCAGCAGUGGCAGCGAAUGGGAGAGACCGGAGCUGGGGGCGCUAGGGUUGUCGCCUAGGGAGCGACGCGAGGGGAAACACAGAUUUCCCCUGGUUGGAUAUCUGGACUCCCUUUUUAUUUUAGUUCUUUUAUUUUUUAUUACAGUCUAUUCUUGUGUCAUUUUUCCUUCUUUCCAUGGAUUCUUUGGUCAAGAAUUUGUCUUGUAUUUUUUUAUUUUUACUUGAUUGAAUGUGUAUGCGAUGAGAAGGGGAGCCUUAGCGCAGUGGUAAAGCUGCUGCCUUGUGACCAUGAGGUCACGGGUUCAAGUCCUGGAAACAGCCUCUUACAGAAAUGUAGGGAAAGGCUGCGUACAAUAGACCCAAAGUGGUCGGACCCUUCCCCAGACCCUGCGCAAGCGGGAGCUACAUGCACUGGGGCUGAAGAAAGAAUGUGUAUGCGAUGAAAGAAGAAAUUGAAUUAGACUACUUCCUUACUAUUUCAAUUUACUAAUCUGUUCUAUGUAGAUUUGAAGAUAAUACAAUCUAGCACACUUUAUGACUCCAACCAGAUCCUUUCAUUUAAGACAUGUUUUUUUUGUAUUUAAUCCCUUCGUUUCUUCAGUGAUUAAUUGGAAUUUCAAUUAAUCAUUUUGGCUGACUACUUUUACAUAAGGAUGUUGCAAGUUAACAUACCCAAUCACUGGACUGCAUUAUUAAUUGUUGGUUAUGUUGCUACUAUUCAGUUUAGAAGUAUGCAGUUAUUAUCAGUAUUUUAGGUGAAUACCUCCUGUAAACUGAGUCAGUGGGCUAUGCAAAUUUUAUACUCUCACUGUAGAAGAUUGAUUGGUUUCUAGAUUAGUUUUUAUGUUCUCCCCCAGAACACUAUCUAGAAAAUUACAAAUACGAACGCACUCACUAAUGUCCAUGCCUGUAAUUCUGUUUGGAAGAUUAAAUUCGGUUAGCCAACUUUCUUUGUAUGGAUUUCUACCAGUUCAAUUUCUACAAUAUAAUGUUUUCAGAAUUUUGUCCGACUUGCUCUAAGAAUAUGAAACACAAAUAAUUGUCUCCUCGGAUUGGUUAAGCUAGCUAACUUAGUUUUUUCCCCAUUGUUUUGUUGAUUUAAUACCGUUUUUACAUUCAUGUCGGUUUUUUUGGACACAAUUAAGUCAAGGAAUUUUCUGUUUCCUUGAAACCGGUUUUUUUGGAUUUUUUUUCAUGUACCUUGUGAUACAUGCAAGAUCUGUAUCCACAUGAUUUUGGAUUUCUUGUAGGCAGGGUUGAUGUUGAAUCCUUGGUUGCUUGGCAUGGCAAGAGUAUGUACUCCGUAACUUGCCCUGCAAGCAUCUGAGAUCUUGUGGAUUGAUGAAGGUGAGCGCAUGUUAGCUAAAUAAGGCAUGUGACCUGAAAUGUCUUAAUGAAUGUACAUAUCUGGAAAGUUGCUCUAUUUUCUAAUCUCUGAUGCUGCUAGAAAGUUGCUCCUUUUUCAUGAUUGUUCCCUCCUGGCUUACUGAUAUUUUUUCAAAUUUUGUUGUGCCUAUGUGCUCAAGUGUACGUAGCCUAAAAACUUUAGUGUGCAUUAUUUCCUUCUUUCCGCAUGCCAUGCAAUCUAACCUUUGUGAACCGAAAACUCUCUAGUCGGAGAGGGCAGCUAGCCCUAGGUGCUGUCAUGGAGAAGAAUUACCCCGGAGGCCACCACCAAUUGGAAGGGUCGAGGUUAUCAGGAUUUUUCUUUGAGAUGGUUCAAGGUGUCAGGUUGGUAAUGAGAAACAAUCUGUGAAUUUCAUUGCAGGCUCUUGCAAACGGUAUGAACGAACGAUUUAAAGUGAAGACAAUCUGCUGAGAGUUAUCAACAAUCAGAGAUCAAGAACGUUCAAGGGAAAUGUUAGCUGCUGCUUUUGGUUUAGUUCCACACCACCCCUUCUUUUUGCUAAUAUGUACUCCCUCUAAAGAAAUGCAAGAGUGUUUAGAUCACCACUUUGGUGAUCUAAAUGCUUUUAUAUUUCUUUACGGAGGGAGUACGUAAUACUCUUUUUUUUUCAAAAAAAAUUGUAACUGUAAUACUCUUGAUGAAUGAGGAGAUGAGGUCUUGCUGUUACACAAAUGUAAACUGAAAGCUAGAACUGGCAAUUAUCCUUUUUACUCCAUGAGUUGGAAGUCAGUCAUAUCAUUCGUUCC